rnacentral:rRNA from 1 species
CCUACGGGAGGCAGCAGUGAGGAAUAUUGGUCAAUGGGAGAGAUCCUGAACCAGCCAAGCCGCGUGGGGGAAGACGGCCCUAUGGGUUGUAAACCUCUUUUGUCGGAGAACAAAACCCGGGACGUGUCCCGGACUGCGUGUAUCCGAAGAAAAAGCAUCGGCUAACUCCGUGCCAGCAGCCGCGGUAAUACGGAGGAUGCGAGCGUUAUCCGGAUUUAUUGGGUUUAAAGGGUGCGUAGGCGGGAUGCCAAGUCAGCGGUCAAAUACGGGGGCUCAACCUGCGUCCGCCGUUGAAACUGGCGUUCUUGAAUGGGCGAGAAGUACGCGGAAUGCGUGGUGUAGCGGUGAAAUGCAUAGAUAUCACGCAGAACCCCGAUUGCGAAGGCAGCGUACCGGCGCCCGACUGACGCUGAAGCACGAAAGCGUGGGUAUCGAACAGGAUUAGAUACCCCAGUAGUC